UUUUUUUCCCUGCCCGUCUCUGCGUCUGUCAUGUGCCUGGGAUGUGCUCAUGCUUUUGGCACAGAGCGGCCGUUGCACGCCGCCUGAUGCGGGUUACAAAGUGGCAGCACCAGUUUUAAAGUCCCCCCUUGCCCCCCCUCUCCCUCCCCCUUUAAGCAACCAACAAGCCGACCAACUACCCACCAACCCAGCAUAUUUAAACGCCUGGGAUUUUUAGUUGCUCUCCCCCCUCCCCCUCCCCCCUCCCACCUCCAAGAGGAACAUUUACCUACACAUCAUACCACGAUACACACGGACCUCGUUGUUCUUCUGCUUCUGGCGCCUUGGACACUUUCUGAUUCCCUGGCAGUCAUCUGGCUGGACCGCGAAGAACAGUAGUGGAGAAAUGGAGCAACAGGCAGCUGCAGGACGCAGAGAGAGGAAGCCAUCACAGAAUCGGGGAUUUUGAUUUUCACUGGACCUGUACAAGGUUGCUUGACCAUCAUGACCCUUAAGUGACCAAACCUUCAACACUGAAGACAUAAAAAGUAUGCAUGUAAUCUCUAAGGUGGAGAGUUCAAAUGAAGAAGCGAAGAGGCUGAUUUUCCACAAGAGGAAGAUUUGAGAUUCACUGCACUCUUGUUUUGCAUCAAAGUAGCAGGACAUUGAUCAAGUUUAGCAUCACCAAACAAUCGAGCAAUGCUUUUGUUUGAGAUGAAAUUUUUACAAGCCAAACAAUUCACGAAUGGGUGAAGUAGUGUAAUAGAACACCAGACCCAAAAGUAAUGACAUACAUACGCUGCUAAAUGUUUGUAGCUAUGUCAUGUAUUAAAAGUUACAUUCACAAAAUGAUAGUAAUACUGUGGUCAAUAAAUGUGAAGAGUUUGGUGUGAGCACUGGGGCAAUUAGAAUAUGCUUAUGUAAAGUGUCAACAAGAACUCCCCCUAAAAAUCAGUUGAAAAAACAAUAUAGGCUGAAGAGGAGCAUGUUUACGGGCCAAAAGAAAAAUGGCACAAAAUUUUGAAAAUAACUUUUUAUUGUUGGAUCUAGGUCACACAGAAGGUUUGUCAGACGAACCCAAAAUACUGAAUGUAAGCUAAGGUGCAUCAGUUUACAUCACACCCUAAUUACAAUACAAAUUGCAUUUAAGAGUCAAAAAUGUAAUUUUUUGUUGUUCCAUUAAGCACAUAGAUAGAUAGUAUUGCGUUUCAGGGCUUUUUGAGUCACUACGUAACUAAUCUCAGUCAUCUGUGCUGAUUAGUUUGACAGGUGAGCUCAAUUAAAGGAAAAUUAUUUAAGAAAGAUUUUCCACAUUAAAGCAGGCCCAGGUUUGAAGCAAUAUUGGAAAGAGCAAGGCUUGCUCUGCUGUUGAAAAGCAUCAGAUAGUACAGUGCCUUGGAACAGGAAUGAAAACAUUAGCUAUUUCACAAAAACUGAAGCGUAAUCAUUCUACCAUGAAGAGAUUUGUGGCUGAUUCAGAGCACAGAUGGGUUUGUGCAGAUAAAGGCAUAAUGAGGAAGAUUUCUCUUAGACAAAUUCAUUGAAUAAAGAGAGCAGCUCCUAAAAUGCCAUUACUAAGCAGCAAACAGUUAUUUGAAGCUGCUGGUGCCUCUGGAGUCUCUAUGGAGGAUCCUCCAUAGGUUAGUUAUUAAACCUACUAUUCGGCCAACCCUAACCAGUGUUCACACGCAGAAAUGGUCGCAGUGGGCCCAGGUGGGCAUGACGAUUAAUUUUCAAACAGACUUGUUCACCCUGGAUGGUCCAGAUGGAUGCAGUAGUGGAUUGGUGGUGGAUGGCCACCGCAUCCCGACACGGCUGUGACGUAAAAGCGAGGAGGUGGAGGAGUCAUUUUUUGGCUCAAAAUCAUGGGGAAAGAAUCAUUGGUCAGCCCCUUCAGAUUCCCUGAAGGUGUGAAAAUGACAUCAGCAAAGUAUAUGGACUUUCUGACUGAUCACUUUCAUAGUUCAAAAACCUUCAGUAGCAAAAUCAUCCUCAUGCAUGACAAUGCACCAUCUCAUGCUGCAAGGAAUAUCACUGUGUCAUUAGCUGCUAUGGGCAUAAAAGGGGAGAAACUCAUGGUGUGGUCACCAUCCUCCUCUGAACUGUGACCCUAUUGAGGACCUUUGGAGUUUCCUCAAGCAGAAGAUGUGAUGGUGGGAUGGAGUUCAUAUCAAAACAGCAGCUCUGGGAAGGUUUUCUGACAUCCUGCAAAGAAAUUCAAGCAGAAACUCUCCACAAACUCACAAGUUCAAGGGAUGCAAGAAUUGUGCAGGUGAUAUCAAAGAAGAGGUCGUAUGUUAACAUGUAACUCAGUCUGUUAAGAUGUUUUUGAUUGAAAUAGCUUUUGAUUUUAGUACAUGUGACCACUUAAUUCUGCACAUUCAAAUAAUAACCGAUUGAAGUUCUUUAUAAUCCAUAAAAUGUUUUUAAAAGUUGUUGUGCAUAAUAAUUUGGAACAGUGCAUUUUGAGUUUUUUUAUUUAAAAAAAAAUCCUGUAGUCAUUGGGAGGUUUAAAUAAAAUGCGAUGUAGACUAUACCCUAAAUGUUCAUGACUUGAAAAUUAUACUGACCAUCAUUUGUAUAAAUUGAUCAUUUAUACAAAUUUGAAAAAAAAAUCACUUGCCUAAUAAAUGCUAUGAUGUAAAUACAUCAUAGCAUUUGACGAUGUCCUAUUUGAUCAUGUCUGCAUUGAAAUGCCAUUAGAAUUAGCAAUUUUACCAACUCAACCAACUCAACUGAGCUGCAUUUUGGUUCUAGACAAAUACAACUAUGGCUACAAAAUACCUAGCCUAAUCCUGGGACAUUUAUUCACCAGAAAACUUGUGAGGUGACUUCAAACAUGCUAUUUCUGAGGCAAAACGAAGAAAAGCAAAGACUUGUCUAAGGCUGAGUAUAUAAAGUAGGUCCCAGAAAGUGACUUUACAACUAACUAGCCAAUUGUUCAUCAAACUAGAAAUCAAAAAUAAGAAAUUUAAAAAAAAUUCCCUUUGCUCUAACAGGAUUCAGUCUGUUUUUCACAGAACAAAAUCUUCUGAAAUGCAAUGAAAAACAUUUCUUUCGUUAAUACAUGAUUGAUAUAGAAAUGAUUGGGAUGAUAAAGUAGAAUUUUUUGACAGGUAAAUAAAGAUUUCCUUUCAUUUAA